CGCUAGGGUAUGCUACAUCAAGCAGUUGGGCCCAUGCCCCAAAAACGGUGACACACACCCCCUAACAC
rnacentral:tRNA from 1 species